rnacentral:lncRNA from 1 species
CAAAUACCAGCUGAGCCUAUGCGUACCUCUACCACCCCACGAUUAGAAGGAUCAAUCAAUAUACAACAACAUAAGGCAUAUUUUUCACUCAUAUCUAUGCAACCAUCCUAUAUCGACUGAUAGACAUAGGUUCAUACUGGUGAUAGGCACAUGCAGGAAUGAAUGCAAAGUAUACAAUCAAUAUCACAACUCAUUAUAAAUAUCCUCAUCAGGACCAUCAUCAUCA